AGUGAACGCUGGCGGUAGGCCUAACACAUGCAAGUCGAACGGCAGCACAGGAAGAGCUUGCUCUUACGGUUGGCGAGUGGCGGACGGGUGAGGAAUACAUCGGAAUCUACUUUUUCUUGGGGGAUAACGGAGGGAAACUUACGCUAAUACCGCAUACGACCUACGGGUUGAAGCAGGGGAUCUUCGGACCUUUCGCGAUUCAUUUAGCCGGUUCCGGAUUAGCUAGUUGGGGUGGUAAAGUCCCACCAAGCCCACGCUCCGUAGCUUACCUGAGAGGGUGAUCGGCCACACUGGAACUGAGACACGGUCCAGACUCCUACGGGAGGCAGCAGUGGGGAAUCUUGCACAAUGGGCGAAAGCCUGACGCAGCAAUGCCGCGUGAGUGAAGAAGGCCUUCGGGUUGUAAAGCCCUUUUGUUGGGAAAGAAAAGCAGCAGGAUAAUCCCCCGCUGUUCUGACGGUACCCAAAGAGUAAGCCACGGCUAACUACGUG
rnacentral:rRNA from 1 species